rnacentral:sRNA from 1 species
GCUAAGUCUAGGUUUGCUCCCGAAAGUCGAAUACCCAAUUCGAUUGGCUUAGCUAUUUUUUUGGGG